rnacentral:lncRNA from 1 species
AGCCACAUAAGCAAGCUUCUCCUUCAUGUCACGGACAAUUUCCCGUUCAGCAGUGGUGGUGAACAUGUAACCUCUCUCAGUGAGGAUCUUCAUCAGGUUAUCAGUUAGGUCACGGCCAGCAAGGUCCAAACGAAGAAUGGCAUGGGGCAAAGCAUAACCCUCGUAGAUGGGGACAGUGUGACUCACACCAUCACCAGAAUCCAACACAAUACCUGUCAUAAGAUACUCAUAAUUUCAGAUUCAUAACACAUUGCCGAUCAAGGAGAAGAUUUGGAUAUGAAAAGACUGAUACUUACCAGUUGUACGACCACUAGCAUACAAGGAAAGGACAGCCUGAAUAGCAACAUACAUAGCCGGAACGUUGAAUGUCUCAAACAUAAUCUGGGUCAUUUUCUCUCUGUUGGCCUUUGGGUUGAGAGGUGCUUCAGUGAGAAGAACAGGGUGCUCCUCGGGGGCAACACGAAGCUCGUUGUAGAAGGUAUGAUGCCAUAUCUUCUCCAUGUCAUCCCAGUUGCUGACAAUACCGUGCUCAAUUGGGUACUUCAGGGUCAAGAUACCCCUCUUGGAUUGAGCUUCGUCACCCACAUAGGCAUCUUUCUGUCCCAUUCCAACCAUAACACCAGUGUGGCGAGGACGACCCACAAUACUAGGAAAGACAGCUCUAGGAGCAUCAUCCCCAGC